rfam:Virgibacillus necropolis strain LMG 19488 chromosome, complete genome.
GGGGCCAUGGUAUAAUGGGAUUACACUUGAAUGGCAUUCAAGUAAUCGGGGUUCAAUUCCCCGUGGCUCCA